CGAAAGGCACCGAAAUAUCGCAGCCCGACCCUGGGAAAUAUAGAGAUGGCGGAGAAUUUCCCCGUACAACUUGGUCACCGAGGCCAACCUAAAGGUGUGCGCGGACAUACGUGUGCUUUGCAGCCCCCACCUGAUGGCUCUCCCCGUCACCCCACCCUCCCCGGACCCGCAGCACGUCGCAGGCCACGCUCUCCCGUCGCCGUGUCCUCUGCCGGGAUCCAGAAGCACGGGCACAGCCGACUCCUACCCCGGCGCUUCUCCGGAGCAGCAGGGGUGUUGUGAACACUUAUUAAACCCAGAUGAUCUGAGAGUUGGGGCAUACGGAAAAGAUUUUCAAUUAAAGCCGAGAGCAGCCAGCUUCGCGUCGCAGGUGUAAACAAUAUUUGUGCAGCUCUCGCUUCUCAUCCCGGAGCGGAUCCUUCCCCUCGCUGCAUCCCGCAGGGAGGAGAAGGGAAGGGGCCGCUUCUCUCUCCGGGCCCCACUCGCACCUCGCCGGGCUCCCCACAUCGCUCAGUGCACACCCGGGCGGGUCUGUGCCCUGCAGCCCCCGGCCCCGAAUCUCCUCCCCUCCGCUCACCUGUUGCUGCAGCCGCUUCCGUAAGG
rnacentral:lncRNA from 1 species